AUUGAGCCAUUAGAAGCACUUCAAUCUCAAUCACAAUGUACUCAUCUUUUCUUGUGGUAACUGAGGUGAAAAAAACAUCAUAUUCAAAGGGUAAAUGGCUUCAAUAUGAUCUUGUAGCGUCUGUUUGUGAUCGGUGGUAGCAAGAAGAUCAACAAUCCCUUUAAUCUUGAGAAGAUAGUCAUUGAGUGUUCCUGUCAUCUUCGUAUUUCAAAGUUGAGUUUUGUAUAGACCUAUAUUCGCAACAUUGAGUACAGUAUAGUACUCAUAGGAGAGCGAUAGGUUUGAGCAGUGGUAUCACAACUGGUCAUACGAUUGGUGGUCUUUUCUGACAUAAAUGACAAUAGCCAAGACACCAGAAGAUUGUCUUGUUGGCUCCCAAUCUUCAAACUCUAGAUUGAUGGUGUUGGAUCUUUCAUCUUCAGCUGUGCUCCCUUUGAUCAAUGCCAGAACUUGAUGUCUCCAUGAUAAAUGGGAUGCAAUCUAAGUAAAGGAACUUGUUGAUCGUUUUGUGGUUGAGCAUUGUUCAACAUUUUCUGACAUAAAUGACAACAACCAAAAAACUAGAAAAUUGUCUUGCUGCUCUCAAUCUUCAAACUCUAAAUCUCUAGAUUGAUUGUGUUGGAUCUUUCAUCUGCAGCGGUGAGGAAUUUUACCGGAGCUCGAGCAUGAUCAAGAUACUUGUAAAGGCAAUGCUCCCUUUGAUCGAUGUCAAAACUUGAUGUCUCCAUUAUAGUUGAGCACAAGGUUGCAAGAAUCUCCAUUGACGAAAGAAAAAGGAACUCUGACACCAUGUGAAGUUUCAAUUUUUUGAGAGGUAAAAUUGUAUUUAGUGUAUUGAUUGUAAAAAAGUGCAAGAAGAGUUUAUAUACACGAGUUAAAAUAACAGGAAACAUAGCAACCCUUCUAACAACUUAGAAACACUCAACUAACACCUCUGUUAGUAAACAGAAUUAAGUAACCGGUAUCCUUGACAAGAACCAACACAAUUUUUAAUAAGCAGAUUGAGCUACAUCUACAUGAUAAAUAUCAUAACUCAACAUACAGAGCCUUUUAUCAGGUUGGAAGUACAAAAUUUAGCACUUUGCCGGAUUUCAUUCUAAGGUCCUUUCCAUAAAUUAAACAUAAAAAAGAGCAUGUACACGUUUAAAAUUCAUCAUCUGAUUCAUCUUCAUCCGACCAACCAAAAGUAGUGACUGAAGGGGGUUUAUACUCAGGCAAGUUUACCGGUGUAUUGUCGGAUUGCAAAUACUGCUUUAACACAAAAUUUCCAG